rnacentral:sRNA from 1 species
GUGUAGGAUAACGUUGCGUCAGCAACGGCCCGUAGGGCGAGCGAAGCGAGUCAUCCUGCACGACCCACCA